CACAUGGGGAGCCUGCCCCUGGACUGAUGGUAAUCAGCUCUGGUGCAUGGAUACACCAGCAAUUCUACCCUCUGGAGAAACACUGCCUGCUGCCACUCACUCAGAGGGAAGAUGCUGCCAUUCUUGCACAUGAUACCAGUGGAGACUCAGACUGCAGUAACAUGCAAAAAUCAAAACUUCAAAAGAAGGAGGAAAUCGAACUGAUGUGUUUCUUGGCGAGGUACAUGAACAUUUUUCCAACAGAAGUGACGUGUCUCACAGGAGCUUUCAGUAUAUGUUACAGCGUAAUCUGUAUCAAACUGAACAUACAGUUUCCCCUGUUACAAACAACUUCUUAAACAGAACUCAAGGCUCAGCUCUUCAGAACAUGCUAGGCACCUUCUUCUGUCUCAUGGGAUCUGAUUCUACCUUACAGGCAUCACAGACCUCCAGGAAAAUCUGUGCCCUUCCAAGACACCAUCUAACCACAAAGGUACUGAUCAGGUACUGACCACUAUGCCCCACAGCUUGUGCUACCUUGAGACUUAGAAGCGCAAAGGAAAGCAGCGCAUCUUUCACCUUGUGCAUGGCCUUAAGACUAACCCUGGUACUGCAUUCUUAUGUAACUUUAGACAGUAUCCUUUAUACACAAAUGUAGUUGUAAAGUCUUGAUCCUCCAUGCACAGACACACACCUUAGUUUUGGCAUUUCUUAAUUCUGAGUUCCUGAUGUACAAAAGAUCUGGCAUUAUAUACAGACUUUUUAUUUU
rnacentral:lncRNA from 7 species